UACGUAGGGGGCUAGCGUUGCUCGGAAUUACUGGGCGUAAAGGGCCUGUAGGCGGCCAACUAAGUCGGACGUGAAAUCCCCAGGCUCAACCUGGGAACUGCGUCCGAUACUGGAUGGCUUGAAUUCGGGAGAGGGAUGCAGAAUUCCAGGUGUAGCGGUGAAAUGCGUAGAUAUCUGGAGGAAUACCGGUGGCGAAGGCGGCAUCCUGGACCGACAUUGACGCUGAACGGCGAAAGCUAGGGGAGCAAACGGG
rnacentral:rRNA from 1 species